AUGGUUUCUGAGGGACAGGAAUUCAGGAGUGGCUAGGCUAGGCUGCUCUGGCUCAGGUCCUUUCAUUAGCUCCAGUCCAGAUGUCAGCAGGACUGCAGUCAGCUGAGGGUGUGAGUGGGACUGGAGGUUCCACAUCCAAUAUGGCUCCCUCACGGGGAAGGCAGGGAAGGAGACGGUGGCGGCUUAGCCCUGGGCACAGGUCCCGGGGGGCUGGCUUCCCAGCGACAGGCUGGAUUCCGCACCCUGACGACAUCCUCUGCUUUGGGGAGGACCUAGCAGCUACUUGGGAAAGGAGGAAACUCAGUACUUUAUAGGCUGGAAAUUAAAAAACCAAGAUACCAGCUGGAAUAUACUCACGCAAGGGGAACCGUGAGAGGAGAGAUCAUCCUGGCCCAUUUGGUGGGCUGAAUGGAGUGACCUGUGCUAGGAACCCCCUCGGCACCUCGGGGGCCUCUUCAGACUGAGAGCGGCGUCCUGACAGGACAAACCCACACCUGGGAGGUGAAGCACUGAUCUCAGGUCGCACCGACUCACACGGCAACACUCAUUCAUCACCCUGCGAGCUGAUUUCAGGGCACCACUUACGGAUCUCAGAGUCCAAUUCCAGACCCUUCAACCCAACGUUCCCAUGGGGGAGGGCUCUGCUAGGAGCCACGCCUGUCCGGGUUGCCAGACGCAUUUGGCAGACAGAGUACCUACAAUUCCACUGUUGUUACCGAGGCGAAUAAGAAUUUAUUGAUCCUGGCAGCUUUGACAGUCUCAAGAGUCCUGCAAGCUCUGAAUGUCACCUCUUCCGGGAAGCAGACCCUAAUUCCCAAGGCGCUGGCCUCCCCCUCCCCCACAGCCUCCUGUACGUGCCUUCUUUCACAUACUGGUCUGCAAUGUGUCUCGCUCCCCACUCGGGGCCCUCAGGAUGGCAUCUGGGCCUCAGUAAACACUAAAUAUUGUGGCAUCAACAUCGCCACUCCAGGACACUCGGAGGCUUCAGGGAAGAUGAGGCUGGGAGCCAGUGGAGGAUGGGCGGCCAGUGCUCUCAGCAAUCCUCACCCUGCCUCGAGGCCCUGGGCAGGCCACUUGCCCACGAGGGACUCCGUGUCCUCUGGACCUCAGCCUGGGCACGGGGCUGCGCUCAUCAGGGUCGCACGUGGGUGGACCCGGGCUGUGGGAGGGCCCAGCACGGCACCCAGAGCACCUGCCCUGGGUGCGUACACAGGCAGGAAGCAGGAGUUGAAACCUGCCAGCUGGGUCUUCAUGACCAACCCCGGGCAGUUUCUGCUCGGGGCACUUCAUAGCUUGGGAUUCUAGCCCGUCGAUGGCUCAAAGGCAGAGUUCUGGGUGGUUCUGUUUCCAGGCCAGGAGCCACCCCACCCCGCCCCCCACCCCCAGCCUCCAGCUUGGGAGUUCCUAGACAUCAGUGCCCCACCUGGGCCAUUGCACCUGCUCCCAGCGUAGCCCUGGAGAGCUCAGCAAAGGCUGGGCCGGUGCUUUCCAUGAACCACGAAAGUUUUUAGCUGAUGACCGGAGUGAUUUGUAUCCAUUAUGGGAACAUUGGGAAACACAUAACAGCAAAAAAUAAAAUAAUUUAAAAUAAACGUCA
rnacentral:lncRNA from 1 species